GAGAUACGCUAGUUUUAAGGAUUAAGCCAUGCAAGCCAAUACAAGUUUUACAACUGAAAUUGCAGACGGCUCAGUAGGACAUCUGUAAUACAACCAUAAGAAGAGAGGAUAACUACAAGAAUUUUGUGGCUAAUCAUGAAAGUCGGAAAUCUUAAAUAAGAUUUAUAUGUAAUAUAGACUUAUUUCUUACUAAUAAUAUCAGUAGGGUGUGAAAACAAGAAUUCAGAGGGGAUAGUUAUGGAGUAGCGGGUGGUCCAUCAGCUAAAUCUUAAGGUAACGACUUAAGAUUGCGAUAACGGAUGCGGGGAAUAGCAGUUUAGUUCCGGAGAGGGAGCCUGAGAGACGGCUACCAUGUCUACGGAUAGCAGCAGGCGCGUAACUUGCCCAAUCGAUAAGGAGGCAUCGACGAGAAGUUCUGUUUGCAAUAGCAAAUAGAGAGAAAAAUAAGUAUAUAAUAUUUUGAGAGCAACUUGAGGGCAAGUCUGGUGCCAGCCGCCGCGGUAAUUCCAGCUCGGGGAGCGUACUUCAUUUAUGUUGCGGUUAAGAGGCCCGCAGUUUAAUAGGACUGAGAAAGAGAUAUUAAUAAAGAUAUCAAGACAGGUCUGCUAAAACUAGGAUUAUUCAGGGAUAAAGGUAACUUUCCAGGAGAGGUGAAAAACGAAGAUUGGAGAGGGACGAAGUGAGGCGAAGGCGUUUAUCUUGAAUGAGUUCGAUGACUAUGGGCGAAGGCUAGGGGAGCGAAGAUGAUCAGAUACCGUUGUAGUCCUAGCGUCAAAUUGCCAUUCGCAGAGAGUAUGAUUCUUUUUGAAUUAUAUUCUAGGCAGAAUGAAAGAGAAUGGUUCUGGGGGGAGUACUGUCGCAAGGCUGGAACUUGAAGGAAUUGACGGAUGGACACACCAGAGGUGGAGCCUGCGGCUUAAUUUGACUCAACACGGGGCAGCGUACCAAGCGAGGACGAAAUUAUGAUUUUUAGUUAUUUCACGAGCUGACAAUUUUAUUUUGAGGACUGACAAUUUUAUUUUGAGGGCUGACAAUUUUACUACGUAAAAAGGUCAAUUUUUCGGAAAGGACCUUUUUACGAAGUAAAAUUGUCAGCCCUCAAAAUAAAAUUGUCAGUCCUCAAAAUAGAAUUGAUUGUCAGCCCUCAAAAUAAGAUAAAAGAUUUUUCUUAGGGUGGUGCAUGGCCGUUUUUUGCUGGUGGGGUGACCUGUGCGGUUUAUUCCGUUAACGGGCGUGGCCGGUAUAUAUUUAUAGUUUUCUUUCUGUAUAUUUUAGACGCUCUAUGAAAAUGGGGGGAAGAACCGGUUACAACAGGUCUGUGCUGCCCCUUGAUGGCUUGGGCUGCACGCGGGCUACAAUAGUUCUUUCAUGGAAAAUAGUAGAAAGAAAAAGAAUUGAGAGGGAUUAUGUUUUGUAAGAGACAUAUGAACAAGGAAUCUCUAGUAGGCAUUUCUAAAUAGGGAGUGCCGACUUCGUCCCUGUCCGUUGUACACACCGCCCGUCGAUACUACCGGUUUGUCUUGACAUGAGUUAAUACGAAUGUUGAUGCGACGAGGAAG
rnacentral:rRNA from 1 species